rnacentral:rRNA from 1 species
CCCUUAGAUGUCCGGGGCCGCACGCGCGCUACACUGAAGGAAUCAGCGUGGCUUUCUCCCUGACCCGAAAGGGUUGGGAAACCCGUUGAAUCUCCUUCGUGAUAGGGAUUGGGGCUUGAAAUUGUUCCCCAUGAACGAGGAAUUCCCAGUAAGCGCGAGUCAUAAGCUCGCGUUGAUUACGUCCCUGCCCUUUGUACACACCGCCCGUCGCUACUACCGAUUGAACGGUUUAGUGAGGGACUCGGAUUGGUCUCGGCCCGCUCUUUACCGGGCGGCGCCGUUGGUCGAGAAGACGCUCGAACUUGAUCGUUUAGAGGAAGUAAAAGUCGUAACA